rnacentral:rRNA from 1 species
CAUGCAAGUCGAACGGAAAGGCCCUUUCGGGGGUACACGAGUGGCGAACGGGUGAGUAACACGUGGGUGAUCUGCCCUGCACUUCGGGAUAAGCUUGGGAAACUGGGUCUAAUACCGGAUAGGACCAUUGUCUGCAUGGAUGGUGGUGGAAAGCUUUUGCGGUGUGGGAUGGGCCCGCGGCCUAUCAGCUUGUUGGUGGGGUGAUGGCCUACCAAGGCGACGACGGGUAGCCGGCCUGAGAGGGUGUCCGGCCACACUGGGACUGAGAUACGGCCCAGACUCCUACGGGAGGCAGCAGUGGGGAAUAUUGCACAAUGGGCGCAAGCCUGAUGCAGCGACGCCGCGUGGGGGAUGACGGCCUUCGGGUUGUAAACCUCUUUCAGCAUCGACGAAGCGGAAGUGACGGUAGAUGCAGAAGAAGCACCGGCCAACUACGUGCCAGCAGCCGCGGUAAUACGUAGGGUGCGAGCGUUGUCCGGAAUUACUGGGCGUAAAGAGCUCGUAGGUGGUUUGUGGCGUUGAUGGUGAAAACUCACA